AGUUUCAUGCACCUUUAGUCCCAGCUACUCAGGCUGAGGCAGAAGAACUGCUUGAACCUGGGAGGCAGAAAUUGCAGUGAGCCGAGAGCCACUCCACUCCAACCUGGGCAACAGAGCAAGACUCCGUCUCCAGAAAAAAAAGAGAGAGAAGGGGGUUAGGAUUGGAAUGGGACACACAAAAAGGACUUCUAAGGUAAGGAGCUGGUUGAAUUCAAGCAUGCAAAACCCAUGGGUAUAGAAGGCCAACUGUAAUAAUUUUGUCUGCUCCAUGAAGAAUAACGAAUAGACUCAAAGGGAUAAUCAAAGAAGCAGCAAGACCACUUAGGAAGCUCCUGCAAUCAUCCAGGAGAUUAUUUUAAACUUGAUGGAUCAAUCCUCUUAAGGAUAACGAAUUUGGAUUUGCAAGAAUUCAAGGCAAUUCCGGCUAAAAGGCCACCAGCUAUGCAAGGCCACAAGUUAUGCACUAUAUGAUUAACUACCUUUGUUUUGCUCUUAUGAGCCCACUUAUAAAAACCUCGCUCUGUCUUUAUUCAAGGCCCAGCUUUUUGGAGGUAAAUCCACUGAGCCGGUGUGUACCUCACAAUAAAUAUCCUCCUGUAUUCACGCAUACUGGUCUCUCUAAUCCUCUGCGUCCCGCAACAAGCUGAGAGCGCGCCACUGCACUUGCAGUCUUGCACAUAGCAAGACUAUGUCUCAACAACAACAAAAAAGGUCACCAUACUGGCAGCUUACCAGAUUGAAGAUGCCAGUAAUAUGUUAGUGUGGUUUGCAAGAAAC
rnacentral:lncRNA from 1 species